AGCAUUGAUGAAAUACUGCUGUAAAAAUAGGAAGUGCCGUCUGAUCCGUUACAUGACGUACAUUCAUCGCAACAACAGCUGGCUGAAG
rnacentral:snoRNA from 1 species